GUGCUCACUUCAGCAGAACAUAUACUAAAAUUGGAAUGAUACAGAGAAGAUUAGCAUGGCCCCUGUGCAAGGAUGACAUGCAAAUUCGUGAAGCAUUUCAUAUUUUU
ensembl:snRNA U6 U6 spliceosomal RNA